UAUUUGAUCAUGGCUCAGAGUGCCACGCUGGUUUGUAGGCCUAACACAUGCAAGUCGAACGGCAGCACAGGAGAGCUUGCUCUCUGGGUGGCGAGUGGCGGACGGGUGAGGAAUACAUCGGAAUCUACUCUGUCGUGGGGGAUAACGUAGGGAAACUUACGCUAAUACCGCAUACGACCUACGGGUGAAAGCAGGGGGAUCUUCGGACCUUGCGCGAUUGAAUGAGCCGAUGUCGGAUUAGCUAGUUGGCGGGGUAAAGGCCCACCAAGGCGACGAUCCGUAGCUGGUCUGAGAGGAUGAUCAGCCACACUGGAACUGAGACACGGUCCAGACUCCUACGGGAGGCAGCAGUGGGGAAUAUUGGACAAUGGGCGCAAGCCUGAUCCAGCCAUACCGCGUGGGUGAAGAAGGCCUUCGGGUUGUAAAGCCCUUUUGUAGGGAAAGAAAUCCAGCCGGCUAAUACCUGUUGGAUGACGACCAAAUAACA
rnacentral:rRNA from 1 species